AUUGAACACUGGCGGCAGGCUUAACACAUGCAAGCCGAGCGGGGAAGGGUAGCUUGCUACCUGACCUAGCGGCGGACGGGUGAGUAAUGCUUAGGAAUCUGCCUAUUAGUGGGGGACAACAUUCCGAAAGGAAUGCUAAUACCGCAUACGCCCUACGGGGGAAAGCAGGGGAUCUUCGGACCUUGCGCUAAUAGAUGAGCCUAAGUCAGAUUAGCUAGUUGGUGGGGUAAAGGCCUACCAAGGCGACGAUCUGUAGCGGGUCUGAGAGGAUGAUCCGCCACACUGGGACUGAGACACGGCCCAGACUCCUACGGGAGGCAGCAGUGGGGAAUAUUGGACAAUGGGCGCAAGCCUGAUCCAGCCAUGCCGCGUGUGUGAAGAAGGCCUUUUGGUUGUAAAGCACUUUAAGCGAGGAGGAGGCUACUGAGAUUAAUACUCUUGGAUAGUGGACGUUACUCGCAGAAUAAGCACCGGCUAACUCUGUGCCAGCAGCCGCGGUAA
rnacentral:rRNA from 1 species